AUGAAUCCAUUAAUUACUUCAAUAGUUGAUGGCUUAUGUACUAUAACUGCCACUUAUUCAAUACAUUUUUUGUUACAAGAAUCUAAAUACCACAUAAUUGUAAACAUAAUAAGCAUAUUACAUGACAAUUUCAAUCCUUCAUUUGAAGGCUUUCUAGUUUCAUUUGAGCCAUACUUCAGCUGUAACAAACCCUCUGCACUCUGCAGCUUUCUCUAUAAUGAUGCUUCUGUCCAGAAAACUCACUUAAAUUGUAGUUUCCCAUUCUUGACACCAUCAUCCAAAUAUGCAAUAGCCAAUUAUUGA